UAUUACCACCCAAAGGGGUGGCUUUACUUAUAGGGCUACCUAGAGGGGAAGAAGAACCAAGUCAGGCUAAAAAUCCAUGACAGAGAGUCAAUGAGUCAAUCAGUCAACACACAUACACACACACACACACACACACACACACACACACACACACACACACAAUAUUUAAUAACUCUAAUAAUUGAUGAUAAUAUGAAAGUCUGGAAGUGUCUAUACAAUAAAUAUGUUAAAUCUGACUAAAAUUAAAUGAGAUAGCAGAAAAUGUAAUAAAAAUAUGAUAUAAAGAAAGAAAAGAACCAAAUACUACUUCUAGAAAAGAAUAGAGAAAAUAAAGACUUUUUUUAAAAGCCUUCAUGAACAAAUUAAACACCAGAACAGACACAGCUGAAGAGAGAACCUAUAAACUGGAAAACAGAUCUGAAUGCAGCACUACAAAAUAUAAAGCCAGCAAGACCUCUUAGGGAGUUCCAGGUGGAUGGGAAAAGGGGACCAAAUGAGUUCAUCACCAGAAGCAGGCCUCAGAAGAGAAGGUUGGCCUGAAAUAUCAGAGAAAAGAAACCUAGCUGGGGACAAACAGGACCAGUGGAAGAAUCCAUCUGAACCCAAACCAAACCAGAAGCUUCCACAUGGCACUUCAAACACAGUAGUUCAGUUUUGCAGAACUCUGUACUAUUCUAGUCCCACCCAUCUUCUGAGGGAACUCUUCCCAGGAGCAACCUCAUUUGCUGGGAGAUGUGGUUUCCAUAAGGAUAUGAAACUAUUUCACUAUCCUGUCCUGCCAUAUGGUCACACUUAUCUGGUGACAUUCUGGACUCAGCACGAUAGAUGUGCCCUCACAUGCAAGUAUAUAGCCCUUUCUAGAAAAAUUUUAAAUUCAUUUUCUAUGAAUAAGGUCAAGCUCUUGAGAGACUCAUGAAUUCUCUAGGUUCUCAUUUUACAAGUCAACUCUUGGAAAUAUUAGUUUAAUCUACUUUACUGAAAACUCUAGGAAAACUGCUCUUCAAUUCUCUUUUCUAGUGAACAGCAUUCCAGUACUUAAUCCUUACAGACUUUCGGAGGAACUCCCUCACAUCACCCACAGUAGAAGUAACAUGAGAAAGCACACAGUCAUCUCUUGCAUCCAUGUCCUAUCCAUGCUUUUGCAUUGCUGACAAGUGACGGGUGGGCUCUGACAUCAGGAGAUGCAAAUGGCUGAUGAUUCAGACGGUUGUUUGGUAAGUAAACCUGGGUAAACCCUCAAAAUGCAAUGUUUAUUUUUUCUCCUGACCACAAUAAUCUGAAAAUACCCUCAGAUUGUAAGAAUCAUUAUAAAACAGCCUUUUUCUGGCUCACUACCCACAUACCAGAAUUGGGAUAACUCUACUGAAAACUUGCCUACCCUGAUAGGAAUGGAAUAUUUCUGACAAGCUUACACAUGUUCACCUCUUUCUAGCAUCACCUUCAUUGCUAUCAUGUCUACUAUAAUUAUCGUGCAUUGGCAGCCAUGAGGAAUAUUUUGCAUAUAUUAUAUAAAUUAAUCUCCCAAUAACAUUCAAGGCAGAUACUAUGAAAAUUUCCACUUCACUGAUGAAUAAACUGCCCACUGCCACAGAGUAAGUACACAGCAUAGUCCUUAUUUUAAAAACUUUUCAUCACAGAAAACAUCUUUUCCUCCUUUCUCCAGUGACCCUCUGUGUGAUCUCCUACUCAAUUUCUAGCUACGUGGGUUCCCUGGUCAUUUCAGGGAUGUUUCCUUCUGAAAUAGCUUCCGGGUUUAUAGGUUCUCCUUAUCUCUGUUCUUCAGUGUCUUCAAGUGGUUAUAUAACUAAUGAGGGAACUCACCCCAAAUGCCCUUGUCACAUGCUAUUGGGAAACAUACUUAAAGCAGGGAUGUCCAGUGUUGUCCUUGAUUACAGAGAUUGAUGGGAAUUUGUUUCACAAGAAGUUGUUUUCUUACAGUAUAUUGUUAAAAGCUCCCAGGGCCAGGAGUGGCAAAAAUGCCAUUUAAAUGACUCGCCAUGCUUGUUUUAUUCAAAAUGGCUACCCCUUUAUCCAGAAAAUCACUUUUUUUGGAUCAAACAUCAUUCUUCAGCUCCCUUCCAUUCUUUCACUUAUUCAGUCAUUUAUUUCUAACAUACUUAUUGUGUGUCUUCUAUGAGUCAGGACCUCUUCUGGGUGUUGGGUGAACACCACCACAUUAUACUAAUUAGUGUCUACACUAACAAAGUAGACAUCACUGAAGACCUCAGUGAAUUUGGUAUUUAGUAAGGAACCAACAGACAAGUUUAAACCUGAAACAGAAUAAGAUAGUUGCUCUAACAGGGCUAUGGGCCAGAUAGGGGAGAGAAUCAUCAGAUAGGUUGGAAACCCACCCAUGAGGCUCCUUGGCUCACGUCCUGCCUGCCUGGCUGACCCUCCAGGCAUUCCCGGACAUGUCUGAAUAUUCAGGAUGUACACAUUUUGGGCUCCCAUUCUAGGACCCUGUUGGACUUGGAACAUUGCCAGUCUCCUCUUGGUUGGCACUGUGGUCUAAAAGAGGGUAGAAAGAGAGUAAGUUCUACAUGUGGCAGAAUAGAGGUUUCAUCCUCAUCCCCUUUCCCUGCUUCCUGGACACAGUGGUUACUUAUUUACCCCUUAUCUUUUGGAGCUGGGAUCAAUGCUAAGCUAGAAUUAGAGAAGAGUAUCACUGGAAAAAAAAAAAAAAACAGGAAAAAAGAAGGCUGCAACCCUGUUAGAAUAAAAUACAGGGAAAGUAUAGUCUAGGAAGAGGCAAGUGUUAGCUGGUAAACGAUUUUUUAGUCUGUUGAGAUAUGUCAGCGUGAGAUUAGUGAAGAAAGUGCAUUUUCCUUCACCACCUUCUCUUAAAUAUUGGACCAGGGCGACUUAAAUCUUCUAAGUGCCUUACCUGGCCUCUAGUCUUCCUGAUGCAAUAGUCCUUAGAAUGGAAAAUGGUGAUAACAAUAGCUAUUUUUUUUAUUUUAUGCUUUAUUAAGCACUUAUUACGCUCCAGACUGUACUAAGCAUUUUGCCUGUAUUAUUUCAUUAUAGCCUCAAAAUAACACUGUGGAGAAGGUACUAUUAGCAUCCCCAUUUUAUAGGGCAGUGGAGACAUAGAAAAGAAAAGCAACUUGCCCAAGGCCCAAUGUGAGUAAAAGGUGAAAUGAGAAUUUUAUCCCAGGCACUUGGAAUCUAGAGCUCCACACUCCACUGAAUGAAUGUAUUCUGUAUUCUCGAUUAUCUCAUUUUACUUUUAAAUUUCUGGUAAUAAACUAUACUAUAGUUUUAUGCUCCUGUAAGGUAUCAACUAAAGUGUUAAAUAGAAGCAAGGUAUCAAGAUUGAGGCCUUCCAUCAUGAGACAUUAUUGAAGGUGCAUCUUCAAAAGUUUUUGCUUUGGGGAAAACUUUAGUAAUUACAGUACAAGACAAAUAAUUUAAAACCCCAAAAGCUGUGGAUAUGUAAGUGUUGAGCUUUAUUUCUUGUAUUUAGGAUGGAGCUUCAUUCCAGUGUGAGAAUUUAUGCCUUGGUGCGCUGACCGUUCCAUAAAUCUAAAUAAAGCCUCACAAUGUUCCAUGUACUAUGACAGGUGGGGGAUGCAGAGAAUAGUGAGUAGGAGCAUAAAAUCUGGAGCAGAAAUGGCUGCAUCUGAAUCCUGGUACUACUACUGGGUAAGACUGGGAAACACACUUUAAUGUUCCUUGCUGUCAAAUGGAGGUAAGAUGGCACUUGUAGGGUUGUAGUGAAGGAGAAUUAAGAACAAUGUUAUCUUCCACAAUUAUCAGACAUAGUUUAAUUACCAGGACAUAGUGCCUGCUAUUAAACUGGACAUGAAUGUGAACAGGUGGAUACCCAGAUAUAGGUGUGAAAAGAGAACAGGGCUUUGACACAGCCAGUGGCCAGAUUUAAGGAAAGGUGUCAGAGACAGUGGGGUGUAAAGCUGAAUUCUCAAAGAUCCACAGGUGUGUCCCUGAUUAGCAAGGCAAAAGGAGGCAUUGCUGGUGAAGGGAACAGCCAUGAAAAUGGAAAUGGCAAGAGUGAGGCCAAGCAGUCAGUCUUAGGGAACUGCAAAUUAAGAACUAUGCCUGGAUUUAGGAUUCUAAUGGGGGCAUUGUUAGAGUUUGAGUCUAGAGAGAAAGGAAAGCCUUUAGAUCUCAUUAAGGAGUUCAGACUUUAUGCUAUGGGCGAUAGGAAUCCAUGGAAAAUCCUUGUUUCAUUUGUUUCUGUCUUUUGUUCACUUCUUCUUCUUUUUUUUUUUUGACAGAAUCUCGUUCCUUUGCCCAGGCUGGAGUUCAGUGGUGCUAUCUUGGCUCAGUGCAACCUCUGCCUCCCAGGUUCAAGUGAUACUCCUGCCUCAGCCUCUUGAGUAACUAAGACUACAGGUGCACGCUACCACGCCUGGCUAAUUUUUGUAUUUUCAGUAGAGAUGGGGUUUCACCAUGUUGGCCAGGUUGAUCUCGAACUUCUGACCUCAAGCGAUACACCUGCCUCAUCCUCCCAAAGUGCUGGGAUUACAGGUGUCAGUCACCAUGCCAGGCCUCACUUCAUUGUUUUUUAACUUUCAUUUUUUUAAAUCAAAAAGAGCUUUUGAAAAUUUCCUUCCAAGUAGUGAAAUAUUGUGUAAACAUUAACUUAUGGACAAAUUGCAAGUCAUAUUUUAAAAUUACCUAAAAUCCCACAACCCAGAGGAAACACGCACUGACAUUUUGCUGAACAUCUCUCUUAGAACACACAUAUAUGAUUUUAGUGAACUGAUUAAUAAUAUUUUAUAAAAUGCUUAUUAAUAAUAUCCUAUGGAAACCUUUCCAUAUCAAUAAAUAAAGGCCUAUAUUAGCAUUUUAAUGGCUGUAGAGUUCUCUCUUUUAUGGAGGUAAAGCAGUUUAUUUACCCGAUCUUUACUGAUUUGAAAAAAAAAAGUUUAAUUUCUAAGCAGUAAGCAGUGCUUCAAUAAACAACUGAGAACACAAUGCAAUAAAACCAUAAAAUAAUGGAUGGAAUAGAUAAUAUAGCAAAUAGUUUGUUGAAAAUUAAAAAACAAACAAACAAAACUCACUUCUUUAACCUGCUGUUGAAUGAGAAAAGAACAUGGCCAGUACCUUAGUAGAGGUUUAUUUAUUCAAGAAUUCAGUACCUCAUCUCUUAUUUAUUGAGCAUCAAAGAUGUGCCUGACCCUGUUCUGAUAAUGGGGUGCAAUGGUAAACAAGUCAGAGAAGAUACAUUUCUUACAGCUUACAUUUUAGCACAGGGGGCAGAUGAUAAACUAAUAAAGACGCAAGAACAUAUUAGGUAGCCAUGAGCACUGUGGAGAGAAUUAACACAGGGUAGUACAACAGACUAGAGGAUCACAUUUGUUGGGUCACCUGAAAAGACUUCUCUUAGGAACUGCUAUUAAGGCUGAGAAAUGAAUGACAAAAGAAUCCAG
rnacentral:lncRNA from 1 species